CUUGACAUUGCAGUAUGAUUGAUGAAUAAAUAUUUUUUUCAUUAUUUUUUUUCUUCCAUAUCAGCAACAGACCAUACAUACUCGGCAGAUUGUGCUCAAUCCAGACAAAGCAAACAUGGCUCACAAUUUUGAACUGCUGUGCCGUCUUGCAAGAGAGUGAGAUUCAGCAACACAUAGAAAGACCACAGCAUGGAUUAAGAGACAGGAAGAAUCCAUUUGAAUACUACGAGGAUGAACCUCUCAGAGUGGGGUACCAACAGAGAGAACCACACAUUGCCUGUCAUGUUACAGGUUUUGACAGGACUUUCUUUUAUGUCAUUGGUACCUUUUAGAAGAUGCAAGCAGACGAAGCAACUAUAUCACAGUCAUCCGUGUGCAGAAUCAUCAAAGAUUUUUCUGAGGCAAUAGCAAGGAGUAACAGUGAAUAAAGUUUCCAAUGACGAGAAAUUCAAACCACCCAGUGACAAUUUGAUGAUUGCUACAGGUUUCCAAGAGUCAUAGGUGCUAUCG